UACAGAGGGUGCGAGCGUUGUCCGGAAUCACUGGGCGUAAAGGGCGCGUAGGUGGUGACCUAAGCGUGCGGUGAAAGCCCGAGGCUCAACCUCGGGUCGGCCGUGCGAACUGGGUCACUGGAGCAGAAUAGAGGCAGGUGGAAUUCCGGGUGUAGCGGUGGAAUGCGUAGAGAUCCGGAAGAACACCGGUGGCGAAGGCGGCCUGCUGGGUUCUGGCUGACACUGAGGCGCGACAGCGUGGGGAGCGAACAGG
rnacentral:rRNA from 1 species